rnacentral:rRNA from 1 species
GUGGCGUGCGGCUGCAUGAUUGCACCACAUGUGUUUUUCUUUGAAACAAACUUGCUUUGGCGGUGGGCCCAGCCUGCCGCCAGAGGUCUAAACUUACAACCAAUUUUUUAUUAACUUGUCACACCAGAUUAUUACUAAAUAGUCAAAACUUUCAACAACGGAUCUCUUGGUUCUCGCAUCGAUGAAGAACGCAGCGAAAUGCGAUACGUAAUAUGAAUUGCAGAUAUUCGUGAAUCAUCGAAUCUUUGAACGCACAUUGCGCCCUCUGGUAUUCCGGAGGGCAUGCCUGUUUGAGCGUCGUUUCUCCCUCAAACCGCUGGGUUUGGUGUUGAGCAAUACGACUUGGGUUUGCUUGAAAGACGGUAGUGGUAAGGCGGGAUCGCUUUGACAAUGGCUUAGGUCUAACCAAAAACAUUGCUUGCGGCGGUAACGUCUACCACGUAUAUCUUCAAACUUUGACCUCAAAUCAGGUAGGACUACCCGCUGAACUUAAGCAUAUCAAAAUCCGGGAGGAAA